GCUGGCUUGAAAUGGGAUUGUGCAGACCCAGCUUUGGGACCUGAGGACGCUGGAUCAGGGAUUGUUAUGCUAAUCGCCUGAGAUCAGCAGUUCCUGUGCCCUUCAGAUGGCAGGUAGUGAGGCUGGGCUCUGCCCAGCGGCUGUGGCUACAGGAGGCCAGGCUUUUCCUCUGGCUUCCGGCUUCGUCUGUUCCCCCCCUCUCCCCGCCGCACCCCGUCAGACUUGCCCUGCCUGUCCUCCCACCUGCCAGUUGGCUGGAAGGCUUGGCGUCUCCUAGAAAGGUCCAGGCCAGCUCCUCCCACCCUCCAAAGAGAAACCUGCUUGCCUUCAAGCUGGGCGCUAACUGGGGAUGCAGAGAUGAAGAAACCAAGGCCCAGAGGGAUUGACCCACUUGCUCAGGAUCUACCCUAAGCCAGUGUUCCCUUAACGUCUAUUCUGCGGUUUGGUAUGUGGCCAUUGACAGUGCAAAAGGUCGGCUUCUCUGGGAAGCAGACUCAGAGAUGGAGAUUGGUAUGUAGAACUUCAUCAGGAGGUGGUUGUGGGAGCAACACCCACCGAAGAAAAGGAGGGAAGCUGCACUGAGCAGAGGGAAGGGUGGUGCCGUAAUCCAGUCUCAGCAGAGGCCUCGGCCAGCCCCAUCAGGAGUUCUGAAGCUGAGAUGACCCGUCAGAGUUGUUCUGUGUUGAGAUGAGGGGGCAGAUCAUUUACACCUGUGCCGACCAGUCCACGGAUAUGAGCUGCGCUGGGAAGGGGCUAUGACCUCGGAAUGAUGAUUCCCUUCAGCGUGGCCAAACCACAGAGGGACUCAGCUGUGAGCUGUCAGCAACCAGCACCUCCAGCAGCUAGAGAAAUGCAUGGAUUCUAAAGGACAUCAGGCUGGAUCCCUUACAUUGUACAGCUGGUGGGUGGUGGGAAUAUUUUUCCUCCUCUCAUCUCUGGACUCCAAACAAAGACCCCUGAAAACAGCCAAUCAAAGAACAAGGACCUGAACCUUCCCGGACUUGGGCCUCACACCAAGCUGUUUGCUUUUGCUUCUGUAUUCCAGGGUACCUUGUUCAAACUUCACCAUUUCAUGUAGCACAUUCCUUGAAUAAUGAUAAUAAGUGA